UUGAUAGAUAUCAGUGUUUUUAUGCUACGUAGAAGUAUGCUAAGUUUUUUAGUUCAUAAAGCACCUGAACAUACAUGUACAUGUACAUGUAUUGUUUAUUUAUAGAAAAAAGCUAAAGCUGGAAAGAGAAGACGGACCAACCCAGAGGUGCCAUUUGCUGCUGCUUUAGAGAAGAUUGUUAAUAAACUGAGUGCUGUCCAAGAGUAUUGGCCUUUUGUAAAAGUUUCCAAUGG